GAUGAAGAACGUAGCGAACGUGCGAAACGUAAUGUGAAUUGCAGAAUUCAGUGAAUCAUCGAAUCUUUGAACGCACAUUGCGCCCGCCAGUAUUCUGGCGGGCAUGCCUGUCUGAGCGUCAUUUCAACCCUCAUGCCCCUAGGGCGUGGUGUUGGGGAUCGGCCAAAGCCCGCGAGGGACGGCCGGCCCCUAAAUCUAGUGGCGGACCCGUCGUGGCCUCCUCUGCGAAGUAGUGAUAUUCCGCAUCGGAGAGCGAUGAGCCCCUGCCGUUAAACCCCCAACUUUCCAAGGUUGACCUCAGAUCAGGUAGGAAUACCCGCUGAACUUAAGCAUAUCAAUAAGCGGGGA
rnacentral:misc_RNA from 1 species